rnacentral:rRNA from 1 species
GAAAUGCGAUACCUAGUGUGAAUUGCAGAAUUCCGCGAAUCAUCGAGUUUUUGAACGCAAGUUGCGCCCGAGGCUCGUACCGAGGGCAUGUCUGUCUGAGCGUCCU